GACGAACGCUGGCGGCGUGCUUAACACAUGCAAGUCGAACGGUGAAGGGAUCAGCUUGCUGGUUCUGGAUGAGUGGCGAACGGGUGAGUAACACGUGAGUAACCUGCCCCCUUCUUCUGGAUAACCGCAUGAAAGUGUGGCUAAUACGGGAUAUUCUGGGUCUGUCGCAUGAUGGGUCUGGGAAAGAUAUUGUUUCGGUGGGGGAUGGGCUCGCGGCCUAUCAGCUUGUUGGUGGGGUGAUGGCCUACCAAGGCGGUGACGGGUAGCCGGCCUGAGAGGGGGGACGGUCACACUGGGACUGAGACACGGCCCAGACUGCUACGGGAGGAAGCAGUGGGGAAUAUUGCACAAUGGGCGCAAGCCUGAUGCAGCGACGCCGCGUGAGGGAUGGAGGCCUUCGGGUUGUAAACCUCUUUCGCCAGUGAAGCAGGCCUGCUCCUUGUGGGUGGGUUGACGGUAGCUGGAUAAGAAGCGCCGGCUAACUACGUG
rnacentral:rRNA from 1 species